CGGAGGGCGGGGACGGGCCACAUUGGGACUGGCAGACAGCGGCCCAAACUCCUACGGGAGGCAGCAGUGGGGAAUAUUGCACAAUGGGGGAAACCCUGAUGCAGCUGACGCCGCGUGAGCGAUGAAGUAUUUCGGUAUGUAAAGCUCUAUCAGCAGGGAAGAAAAUGACGGUACCUGACUAAGAAGCCCCGGCUAACUAC
rnacentral:rRNA from 1 species